rnacentral:rRNA from 1 species
GACGGAGGAUGCAAGCGUUAUCCGGAAUGAUUGGGCGUAAAGCGUCCGCAGGUGGCAGUUCAAGUCUGCUGUCAAAGACCGGGGCUUAACUUCGGAAAGGCAGUGGAAACUGAACAGCUAGAGUAUGGUAGGGGCAGAGGGAAUUCCUGGUGUAGCGGUGAAAUGCGUAGAGAUCAGGAAGAACAUCGGUGGCGAAGGCGCUCUGCUGGACCAUAACUGACUCUGAGGCACGAAAUC